ACCCCCGGCCACCCCGCCCCUUUUUGAUGGCGAAAACUUUAUUUAAAAAAUCGAUGUCACCGUCCCCAGUCCGCGAGUUCCCCGGUACCAGCAGAGGUGCAGGAUGAUGGCAAGGCCUGGGCUGUCGCUUGUGCCUGGAGGGUCUGCCGCGACUGGAAGACUCAGUUUAGAGGACGAGUUAGUUAGUGCGGAUUCUUCACCAGCUGAGCUACCAAGAAGGGCGAAGCUCCAGCCAAAGAUCCGGAGAGAAGAGAGAGGAGAGCCGGCAACAGCCUUGGGGCCCCAGGGCCACCCGUGGGAGGGGACGCCGGGAGUGCGCGCGGAGGCAGCAGCGGUCCCUGGAGGGAUCUUCCUGACCCAGGAAUCAAACCGAGGUCUCCCACAUUGCAGGCACAUUCUUUACCAUCUGACCCACCAGAGAUAUGUGUAUAUGUAUAACUCACUUUGCUGUACACC
ensembl:lncRNA